UCCAGGCCCUACGGGGUGCAGCAGGCGCGAAUACUCCGCAAUGCGGGAAACCGCGACGGGGCUACCCCGAGUGCCGGGCGAAGAGCCCGGCUUUUGCCCGGUGUAAGGAGCCGGGCGAAUAAGCGGGGGGUAAGUCUGGUGUCAGCCGCCGCGGUAAUACCAGCCCCGCGAGUGGUCAGGGUGAUUACUGGGCUUAAAGCGCCCGUAGCCGGCCCGGCAAGUCGCUCCUGAAAUCCCCGGGCUCAACCCGGGGGCGGGGGGCGAUACUGCCGGGCUAGGGGGCGGGAGAGGCCGCCGGUACUCCGGGGGUAGGGGCGAAAUCCGAUAAUCCCCGGAGGACCACCAGUGGCGAAAGCGGGCGGCCAGAACGCGCCCGACGGUGAGGGGCGAAAGCCGGGGGAGCAAAGGGGAUUAGAUACCCCUGUAGUCCCGGCCGUAAACGAUGCGGGCUAGCUGUCGGCUGGGCUUAGGGCCCGGCCGGUGGCGUAGGGAAACCGUUAAGCCCGCCGCCUGGGGAGUACGGCCGCAAGGCUGAAACUUAAGGGAAUUGGCGGGGGGGCACCACAAGGGGUGAAGCUUGCGGCUUAAUUGGAGUCAACGCCGGAAACCUUACCCGGGGCGACAGCAGGAUGAAGGCCAGGCUAACGACCUUGCCGGACGAGCUGAGAGGAGGUGCAUGGCCGUCGUCAGCUCGUGCCGUGAGGUGUCUGGUUAAGUCCAGCAACGAGCGAGACCCCCACCCCUAGUUGCUUCCCCGCUCUUCGGGGCGGGGGGCACACUAGGGGGACUGCCGGCGUAAGCCGGAGGAAGGAGGGGGCCACGGCAGGUCAGUAUGCCCCGAAACCCCGGGGCUGCACGCGAGCUGCAAUGGCGGGGACAGCGGGAUCCGACCCCGAAAGGGGGAGGCAAUCCCGUAAACCCCGCCCCAGUAGGGAUCGAGGGCUGCAACUCGCCCUCGUGAACGUGGAAUCCCUAGUAACCGCGUGUCACCAACGCGCGGUGAAUACGUCCCUGCCCCUUGCACACACCGCCCGU
rnacentral:rRNA from 1 species